rnacentral:lncRNA from 1 species
CACAGGCAGAACAACGUAGGAGUGGAGAUGUGAUCUCCAGAGCCACACUGUCUCGUUCGAAUCCUGGCCCCAUUGCAAACUAUCUGGAAUGCCUGAGUUUUGUCAAGCCCAUGGCCACCCAGCCAGUGACUACAUUUCCCGGUUUCCUGUAUAGCUAGGCAUAGCCAUGUGACGAAAUUCUGGCCAAUGGAAUGCCACUGUGAAGAGAAUGAAACUGAAAUAUGUAGAACAUUCUCGGCCUCUCUGAGGAUGGGUGGAAUCAGAACAGAGUAAUUACCCCUUGUGCUGUCUUGUAUGCCUGUCAUCCAACAACACAUGAUGUUCAU